rnacentral:rRNA from 1 species
GUGCCAGCCGCCGCGGUAAUACGAGGGAUGCAAGCGUUAUCCGGAAUUAUUGGGCGUAAAGCGUCCGCAGGUGGCUUUGUAAGUCUGUCGUUAAAGCGUGGAGCUCAACUCCAUAUCGGCGAUGGAAACUACAAGACUAGAGUUUGGUAGGGGUCACGGGAAUUCCUAGUGUAGCGGUGAAAUGCGUAGAUAUUAGGAAGAACACCAGCGGCGAAAGCGCGUGACUGGGCCAAUACUGACACUCAUGGACGAAAGCUAGGGGAGCGAAAGGGAUUAGAUACCCCUGUAGUCCUAGCCGUAAACGAUGAUAACUAGGUGUUGCACGUAUCGACCCGAGCAGUGCCGUAGCCAACGCGUUAAGUUAUCCGCCUGGGGAGUACGCACGCAAGUGUGAAACUCAAAGGAAUUGACGGGGGCCCGCACAAGCGGUGGAGUAUGUAGUUUAAUUCGAUGCAACGCGAAGAACCUUACCAAGGCUUGACAUGUCGCGAAUUCCCUUGAAAGGGGGAAGUGCCUUCGGGAGCGCGAACACAGGUGGUGCAUGGCUGUCGUCAGCUCGUGUCGUGAGAUGUUGGGUUAAGUCCCGCAACGAGCGCAACCCUCGUUUUUAGUUGCCAUCAUUUAGUUGGGCACUCUAGAGAGACUGCCGGUGACAAACCGGAGGAAGGUGGGGAUGACGUCAAGUCAGCAUGCCCCUUACGUCUUGGGCUACACACGUACUACAAUGCUACGGACAAAGGGCUGCCAACUCGCGAGAGUGCGCUAAUCCCAUAAACCGUGGCUCAGUUCAGAUCGUAGGCUGCAACUCGCCUACGUGAAGGCGGAAUCGCUAGUAAUCGCAGGUCAGCAUACUGCGGUGAAUACGUUCCCGGGCCUUGUACACACCGCCCGUCACACCAUGGAAGUCGGCCACGCCCGAAGCCGUUACCCUAACCGUAAGGAGGGGGGCGUCUAAGGCAGGGCUAAUGACUGGGGUGAAGUCGUAACAAGGUAACC